UGAGCUUUGCUUAAACUUUUGGCUAAUCCCCAAUUCAAAGGAUUUCUAUCUUUUUUCUAUCGUUUUGGUCUCGAAUCCUAACAAGAAAUUUCUAAGUUUCGUGAUUUUACUCAUGUUAAGAAGAGAACUGCAUUGAAAUUUUCUGAAUUCUAAAGUUUUGUUGUUGUUGCUUAGAAAGUUUUGAUGGGAAGAUUCUCACAUUGAGAAAAAUAGAGAUACAUUCUGUCUCAAAGCCAGUGGAAGUACCUGUAAUGAUAGACUGAUUCUGCUGAAUCUUCCAACAACACUUAGGUAAUACCCCUUUUCUUUUCUUUUCUUUUCCAUUUUUUUUCCUUUCUAGACAACCUUUGUUUACAUAGUCUAAUAAGGAGGAAAAAAUAGAUUGGGGAUCUGUUUUUUAAUACAAUGCGGGAACUUGCAAUUGAUGAUACUUCUACUUUGAAGGAUAAUGUUAUUAUCAUCAGUGUGGUUGGAAUGACAGGUAUUUAUUACUUUAUCUAAUUGUUAAGGUUUGUUUUUGUUUGCAAUGUGUAAAUGUGAUUUUUGGGUUAUAGUUGGUGUGAAUUCUUUGUAUAGCUAGGUAGUAGGUAAAAAAUUGUUUGUGGAUUGCUUGGUUCGUCAUACAAGGGCAUUAAACAUAUGGAAAUCGUUUGUCAAUUUUGAUCCAACAGUUGUAAUUUUUUAGGUGGUUGGUACACCUUGUUCGAACAAUGUUGUACGCCUGUAGCAUGCUGGACAAGACCAGAUUGCUUUUGUUGUUUGGAUUUUAACUAAACUGAUGUGGCUUGUCAUAAAUUCUACUGUUGUUCUGUUUUAUGAUCCACACUUAAGUUUGACUAUACUGAUGCAAUUCUGUAAUGACCUGUCUCAGCAAACUCGAGAACUUACCGACUUGCAUUGAAUAAAUAGUAAGGGACCACUGUUAACUGCAAAUUAGAAAUUUUCUCCCACUCGUUUUAUAGAUCCUUAUUAGACUUGUGUUUACUUGAUAGUGCCAAAAUGACAAUUGUAAUCUAUAUAAUAUUAUGAUUUAGAGUUGAUAUGUGUGCUCAAUAUGAAUGCUUUCUUAUGUUCUUCAUUUAAAUAUUAUGACAUUUGUUUGUUCCAUGUAUUGAGAAGGCUUGAAGAGCGAGAAGUUGACUUAGAUCAACUCCUACUGUUCGUCUCCUGGUAGUUUUGUGACUCUUUGGUGUUUAGUUACUUAUACAUUUACUUUCUGAGAAUCAAGGUACUGAUGGUGUUGUAAUAUUUUUCAGAUCCACUCUGCUGCAACCGUCUUAGAAGAACAAUAAUUUAGUGAAAUAUGAUCAGAAAAGUGGGUCUUUCUAGGUAACUGACCUUGAUCUUUUUACUAGACAGUACUAUAUAAGCCACGGAACCAUAUUUAUUUACUAUGCCAAUACCAUCAAUGGAUGAUAUCGAGCCUUGUUGGGUGUUCUUACCCAGCAAAAAAUGUAAAUAUGUGACAGUGAAACAAGAUGAGACUUGCGGAGCAUUUAAACCUUGUACCUAUUUCUGCAAAAGAAAGCUUGGAGAAACCCAGUGCCAAAUAAAUGUUUUGCUCGAAGGCUACAUUUCACAACUGAAGCUUGAAGGCUCGCACUGGCUUCCAGUAUCUAAUCUUAAAUCUUGCUUUGAUGGUUUACUUGUGCAUCAUUUUCUCUUUGUAGAGCGCUGGAUGUAUUAUUCUAGCAGUUUUCGAGAUUGCAUUGUAAAGAGGAUGGGCGCAAGUAGCUGAAAAAUCUUUGAACUUGUGCAAGUUGGUUGGUAAGCAGAUGUAGAAUUUAUCAACUUCCUUGUUGUGUUGCCAGUGAAGUCAAUAUUAUGGUUCAGAUAUGUAUCGAAAGCCUGGUGCAAUUUACUGGAAGACUCUAAGUUUGUGAAAAAACACCUUAACCAUGCAAUUGAAAGGACCAUAUUCAGUGUGACGGUGUCAGAAUCUCAUAUUUCAUCACACAUCAGAGUCAAGCUUCCAAAGAUCCACGUACGCGUUCAUACUUCAGUACUGCUGGAAGUGUGACUUUUAUCACUCAAUCACAAAGCCGGGACUGUAGUCUCUCUGUCCAUCUGAGUUUAUAUAGAAGUUUAUGUUUUGGGAAUAAUCAACUACUUCAAUCAGAUCUUAGCUGUUGUACUUGAGGUGCUUGGCGAUUCUGUUACCUCAAUUAGGGAAUUUGCUCUUUCUGUGAUGGUUCAAACUUCAAAUGCUUAAUUAUCAGGUUUCAAGUGAAGCAAAGAAGUGUUUAACAUUAGUUUUGUCUCAGUAUGAUCCAUUCAUAUGCCUAACUGUUACUAUGCCAUUAUUAGUCAGUGAAGAUGAGAAGACUCUCAUUACUUGCAUUAACUGUCUGACCAAGGUGUGAAAUUGAAUUAUCCUACUCAAUGGUUUCGCAGGCUGGAAGAUCACACUUCUACGGUUAGAGCCUUAGCUUAGUGCCCAUUCCAGGCUUACUUGCUUGCUUCUGGUGGAGGUGCAGCUGAUGGAUGGUAGUUAACCUUUUUAAGUUAACUUGAAUAUAUCCUUAACGAGUUUCGAAACCCAAACCUAGGUGCUAUAAAUUCUGUAAGUUCUGUUGCUUAUUGGAAAGAGUUGUCUAUUUUAAGUUUUGUAAAAUGCAAUUUCACAACCAAUUGUAUGCACCGACCAAUCAAAAACUCUGAAUUGCCAGGGGUUAAAUUAUGAGGGCAUUGGUAGUGCUGGUGUGAAAAAGAUUGUUAAGUAUAAAGCUUAUUAAAAACUGAAGCUGACUGAUUUAUAUUAACUGAUGUUUGAUCUUUCAAAUUCAGAAACUUGGGUUCUUGAGCUAAGUUAGGUAAUCUGAAAUUUAGUGGUAUUCUGUA